GGUGGACUACGACUCCCAGGAAGCCUCGCGCGGGCGAGCCCCGAACCCGAGGACGCGGCGAGCGCGGCGCCCGGCCCUCUCCGGCAAGGACUGUCAAUGGAGGCGCGGGUGGUGGGAGCAAGAACAUGGCUGCACCUGGGGCCUGCGCGGCCGCCUGGGUGGGGGAGGGGAGCCGGGGCACGGGGGCGCAAAUCUAGGCCGGGGGUAGCCCCCGCCCCCUCACUGCCCCGAUGCAGCCGGCCUCAGCCACCGUCCAGGACUCGCACCCACUCUUGCACCCCCGAUUCCCUGCCGAUUGCGAGGCCGGAACUCGGCAGAGGCCGGGGAGCCCCAGCCGGCCUGCCGCUCUCGGUGCUCCGCCAAGGGACUUCCUCCGCGCCGCACCACCCUUCGGGACACAAAGAACUUCUGUUAGUUUUGAAAAGCUUGCCUCAAAAGCGUCUGAAAGAGACUGUUGCCCCAACUUUGGACGGGCGACGGGAGGGGACUCUCCUGUUUUUAUUUACCGCCCCUCACCCCAGGCUUGCCUUCCUCACGCCCCCUCACUCAACAUUUAGAAGGAAAGUUGAGGGAAAGCCACCGAGUGAGAGCAGAAAACCUGCCGUGUAGCCCGUUUUGUUCUGUCAACCGCGAAGAAAGGUUACCGAAACCUCUCCCCCCGCGACUAAUUCUUUUGCUUCUCAACUUGAGCUCUCGAAUUUCGAAAAGGAUGAGACAUUGCUGUUCACCUAAGCGAAACUCCAAAGUUUACCAAACUCGAGCCCCGAGGGCUUAGACAGUUCUGUAAAGCACAAGAUCGAGUGAUUUUGCGAUUUUUACCCCCCAGCGGAGACGGGGGGGACCACGCCGGCCAUCCUCCCCCUCCCCCUCCUCCUCGGUAGGUGGCGACCACGGCGCUUUUUCCAGCCUUUGUCGCUGGAAAGAAAACUUUCCGAGCAGCCAGGCUUUUGAUGUAGGUCCAAGACCUUCCCUUUGACUCUUCGUUCCAGAUUGGCGUUCCCCAUCUUUCUUGCAAUAGACCGCACCCAUAAGGCAGCCGAAUCUAGAAUUUCCAUGCUGGGAUUCUUUAAGAUAGAGGGAGACUUUAAAGAUCCCUGCAGAAGCGGUCCGAUGGCAGAUUUCCACAUUUUUACGAUUUCCCCUGCAACGUUUUUACAGGCAUUUUGUCCCCGCCUAACCCGAUUGUGACUCUCCUUUGUCGAGUCUCUCCAAAGCGUUCAUUUCGUUUUCAUGAAAAGUUUUCUUUUUGCACUCGUAUUUCAUUAACGUACUGGACUAUUAAAUUCCGUAUUCCCAGUAGCACGUAAAAGUGACAUCUAUGUAAGGAACAAACCAAAUUUUGAGAAAGUCUGCAAUUGAGCUGAUGGGAGCAGUCAGCCUUCCAGGGACAAACAUUCAGCCGCUGUGAGCACCGGGGGAAUCAUGCUGCUAUAUGUGAGCAGCCCCGUGGAGAGGCCCAGAUGCUGGGAAAGUGAAGCCAUUGGCCAACAGCCACGUGAGCGAGCUUGGGAACAGAUUCUCCUGCCCCGAUUCCAGGAGGUGACUGCUACCCAACCAUGGCUGGAGUGCAAGCUCCUGGGACGCUCACAGCCAGAAGCACUCCUCCAGCUGCUCCUGGAUUCCUGACCCUCAGAACCAAUACUAGACAGCAGGAGGCUCUGGGUCUUGGCAAAGCACGUGGCUGAUGCUUGUUUCAUGGCCAGAUGAGCCAACGAAUUGUCUCUCCCAUGGGCUCGCGGCCUUUUGGGAAGACACCGUGGUCACUUCUACCUCCCGCCCCUGACAGCCAACCCAGGAGGCCGUGUCUCACAAACGUACCAAAGUCACACCAGGGAACUCCCCAACCACUGCAGUCCCUUCCCUGUUUGCAGAUUUUCUUCCAACCGUUCUCUUCCUUUGGAUCCAGGGAACCAAGGU